rnacentral:rRNA from 1 species
AUACGUAGGUGGCGAGCGUUGUCCGGAUUUACUGGGCGUAAAGAGCGCGCAGGCGGCUGGUCAAGUCCGAUGUGAAAGCUCCCGGCUUAACUGGGAAAUUGCAUCGGAAACUGAUCGGCUGGAAGGUGGGAGAGGGUAGCGGAAUUCCCGGUGUAGUGGUGAAAUGCGUAGAUAUCGGGAGGAACACCAGUGGCGAAAGCGGCUACCUGGCCCAUUCUUGACGCUGAGGCGCGAAAGCUAGGGGAGCAAACGG